GUUGAUGUAGCUCAGUGGUAGAGUGCAUGCUUCGUAUGUAUAUUGUCCUGGGUUCAAUCACCAGCUUCACCG